CAAACCAUCAGUUCUAUUUGUGGUGUAUAUAGUUUAGGUUAACAAAGACAAUAGCAUGUGUCAGAUGGACAUCAAGUGUAAAGUGACUUUGACAGACGACAGUGACAAGUGAAUAGACUGUGAUUUGGCAGGAGAGCAGCAAACAUGUAACCACGUGA